rnacentral:rRNA from 1 species
GACGAACGCUGGCGGCGUGCUUAACACAUGCAAGUCGAACGGAAAGGCCCUGCUUUUGUGGGGUGCUCGAGUGGCGAACGGGUGAGUAACACGUGAGUAACCUGCCCUUGACUUUGGGAUAACUUCAGGAAACUGGGGCUAAUACCGGGUAGGAGCUCCUGCUGCAUGGUGGGGGUUGGAAAGUGUCGGCGGUUGGGGAUGGACUCGCGGCUUAUCAGCUUGUUGGUGGGGUAGUGGCUUACCAAGGCUUUGACGGGUAGCCGGCCUGAGAGGGUGACCGGCCACAUUGCGCCUGGGGUACGGCCCAGACUGCUACGGGAGACAGCAGUGGGGAAUAUUCCACAACGGCCGGAGAUCUGAUGCAGCAACGCUGCGUGCGUGGUGACGGCCUUCGGUUUGUAAACCGCUUUCGUCUGUGACGAAGCGUGGGUGACCGUAAUGCGUAAAUAAGCACCGGCUCACUACGUG